rnacentral:misc_RNA from 1 species
GAUGAAGAACGCAGCGAAAUGCGAUAAGUAAUGUGAAUCGCAGAAUUCAGUGAAUCAUCGAAUCUUUGAACGCACAUUGCGCCCGCCAGUAUUCUGGCGGGCAUGCCUGUUCGAGCGUCAUUACAACCCUCAGGCCCCCGGGCCUGGCGUUGGGGAUCGGCGGAAGCCCCCUGCGGGCACAACGCCGUCCCCCAAAUACAGUGGCGGUCCCGCCGCAGCUUCCAUUGCGUAGUAGCUAACACCUCGCAACUGGAGAGCGGCGCGGCCACGCUGUAAAACACCCAACUUCUGAAUGUUGACCUCGAAUCAGGUAGGAAUACCCGCUGAACUUAAGCAUAUCAAUAAGCGGAGGA